CUCUUGUUCUCUACGUCCUUUUUUUUUUACUUCUCCCUCCCUCCCUCCCCCUCCCUUCAUCAUGUUAGACUGUUGUCUAAAUUGCUGAUUUGUCUGUUUGAUGCAUUAUUAUCUGUUUCGGUCAAGUUUGAAUGUCAAAGUGGGUGCCCAGCGUCAAAAUGCUAUGGGUUGCAAGAUCUCAAGUUCAUGUGAUUCAAAUAUGCUCAGAUUCUUCUCCAUUUGCUGAAACAUUAAGUUACUGGUCCAAGUUACAGAGGAAUGGCAUGAGGCAUGAUUGCAUUAUCUCUGAUGGAAGGAUGCAGAAACAUGCAUACAUGAAGAGUGCAUGCACAUAAUUUCAUGCAACAUGGUGCUGCUCUGUAUUUGUAAGAGAUUGCUAGGAACUGACAACAAUUUUUUUUUUUUUUUUACUUAUUUCAUCAAGCAUUCCUGCUCAUCUGAUCGUUUGAUUUUUUUUCUUUUCUUUUCCUUAGCAGAGUUUUAAAUUAACUUGAAAUGAAGUAAAAGCCCAUUAAU